GUCCGCAGGCGGCAGCCAGCGCAGCCGCAGCGCCAGUGGGGAGCGGCUCAGGCUAUACUGCAGGCUGGAAGAGGGAUCAGAUAAACACUUUAUCGACAGACAGACUGAUUGAAACAGGAUCCCAUGCAACCUGGGCUCCAGCUAACCGUGUAGCUGAAGGUCCCCGCGGCGCCAGGGAUGCUGCUGCAGUCGCGGAGCGUGAACUGCA